rnacentral:lncRNA from 1 species
GUGGUCAAGGGCUAGCUCGAGAAGGCGAGGAGUGGUCGGAACCUUCUUCUCCAUCCUUCUCUUCCCCUUCCCCUACGGGGAAAGGUUGAGACCCGGUACGCAGGCUGCGCCGCGGCCCCCGUGGCCUCAGCUACAGCCAGGUCCCGCGUCCGGAGAAGCCAGGCCGCGUCCCGUGCGUUGUCUGAGAAGGGCUCCUGCCUCGUAGCCUCUGCUGACCUUGAGUUCACAGUGACCUUCCCAACUCAGCCUCCCAGGUGUUGGGAUUGCAGAGCGCUCCUGAUUGUGACAUCACACCCACCCCUGGGCCAUGAAACUUGUCUCUAGGAAGAAAGACUCAGUUGGAGAAUAGCCAACAAGAUGGGAUACUUGGAGUGUCUCCUGAGUGGCACCAAGCAGAGGCAUCAGGGGCUUGGAACCUUGUGAACAGGGAACCUGCCCCCACCACUUAGAAGGACCUGGGUUUCAGUGAUGAGACAUGGGGUAUGAUGUAACCCGGUUCCAGGGGGACGUUGACGAGGACCUCAUCUGCCCUAUUUGCAGUGGAGUCUUGGAGGAGCCAGUACAGGCGCCUCAUUGUGAGCAUGCCUUCUGCAACGCCUGCAUCACCCAAUGGUUCUCUCAGCAGCAGACGUGUCCGGUAGACCGUAGCGUUGUCACGGUUGCCCACCUGCGCCCAGUGCCUCGGAUCAUGCGGAACAUGUUGUCAAAGCUGCAGAU